GUUUCGGUAGCUCAGUUGGUAGAGCAAUUGACUCUUAAUCAAUGGGUCGUGGGUUCGAGCCCCACCCGGAACACUA
rnacentral:tRNA from 1 species